ensembl:lncRNA
AUGGGUAUUAGUGGUCUAAAAGUGCUAAUUGCAUCAGGCAGCAACAUUAGCAGGACUGGAGCCGUGGUCACACAAGAAGGAUAAACACAGCAGAGAUCUUCUCAGACACUGCCUGCCACUGAGCCAUGUUCAGCAAGCUGAAGAAGAUCAUCGGGGGUCCAGCUGUGGGUCCCACCCCGGCCUCGGCCUCUAGGUCGGCCCCUGCACCAGCUCCUGCUCCGGCCCCUGCAAAGGAAGAAAAACCUGCAGACAAGGAAAAUGAAGACAAGAAAGAUGAUGAAGGCCCUGCCCCAGCGUCGACCCCAGCACCAGCUCCAGAACCAGCAGCACCGGCCUCAAAACCAGAACCUGCCCCCAAACCAGAGGAGAAACCUGCAGACCCGGCCAAAGGCCAGCCACCUGCUGAAGGGUAA